rnacentral:lncRNA from 1 species
CCAGCCAUUAACUAAUAUUCCAUUAAUUGCACCAUUUUACCACAAAUAUACCUCUGAACGGCUUUAUUCAAGCCACUUCGAAAUUCGCCAAUGGCAAUAAUUUUGAAGGUUGGUCUUCGCAAUAAUUUAAAUUAUGUCUUGUGAAAAUGUCGAGCUUUGACUUGUUCAUAUCAUUUUACUAAGAUUCUUGCUAGUAUUUUAAACCCGAUCUUACCGUUUAUUCCGUUAUAUUACAGUAUAACCCCCGGUAUUCACCUCUCGUCUCGUGUGUCAUCUCGCUUCUUGCCUCCGGUGCUGCCAGUGCAUACUACCUGUUCUGCGUUGUACUUUGUUUAAUUUAAGUUUCGUGAACAUCAGCCUCUACAGUUCUUGACAGACUGCACUGAUGUCCAAGUUUUAUUCGUUUCGAGUUCAAUAAAAAUUAUUAGCUGU